CGGCAACAGCUCAAAUUUGAAAUCUGGCCCUUGUGGUCCGAGUUGUAAUUUGUAGAGGAUGCUUUUGGUGAGGUACCUUCCGAGUUCCCUGGAACGGGACGCCAUAGAGGGUGAGAGCCCCGUCUGGUUGGAUACCGAUCCUCUGUAAAGCUCCUUCGACGAGUCGAGUAGUUUGGGAAUGCUGCUCUAAAUGGGAGGUAUAUGUCUUCUAAAGCUAAAUAUUGGCCAGAGACCGAUAGCGCACAAGUAGAGUGAUCGAAAGAUGAAAAGCACUUUGAAAAGAGGGUUAAAUAGUACGUGAAAUUGUUGAAAGGGAAGCGCUUGUGACCAGACUUGGGCUUGGUUAAUCAUCCAGGGUUCUCCCUGGUGCACUUGGCCAGCCCAGGCCAGCAUCAGUUUGUCGCGGGGGAUAAAGGCGUUGGGAAUGUGGCUCCCUCGGGAGUGUUAUAGCCCUUCGUGUAAUACCCUGCUUUAGACUGAGGUUCGCGCAUCUGCAAGGAUGCUGGCGUAAUGGUCAUCAGCGACCCGUCUUGAAACACGGACCAAGGAGUCGUCUUCGUAUGCGAGUGUUCGGGUGUCAAACCCCUACGCGUAAUGAAAGUGAACGCAGGUGAGAGCUUCGGCGCAUCAUCGACCGAUCCUGAUGUUCUCGGAUGGAUUUGAGUAAGAGCAUACGGGGCCGGACCCGAAAGAAGGUGAACUAUGCCUGUGUAGGGUGAAGCCAGAGGAAACUCUGGUGGAGGCUCGCAGCGGUUCUGACGUGCAAAUCGAUCGUCAAACAUGGGCAUGGGGGCGAA
rnacentral:rRNA from 1 species